GACGAACGCUGGCGGCGUGCUUAACACAUGCAAGUCGAACGGAGUGGCGAACGGGUGAGUAACACGUGGGUGAUCUGCCUUGCACUCUGGGAUAAGCUUGGGAAACUGGGUCUAAUACCGGAUAGUGCAAGAUGAGCUCGCGGCCUAUCAGCUUGUUGGUGGGGUAAUGGCCUACCAAGGCGUCGACGGGUAGUCGGCCUGAGAGGGUGUACGGCCACAUUGGGACUGAGAUACGGCCCAGACUCCUACGGGAGGCAGCAGUGGGGAAUAUUGCACAAUGGGCGGAAGCCUGAUGCAGCGACGCCGCGUGGGGGAUGACGGCCUUCGGGUUGUAAACUCCUUUCGACAGGGACGCGGUACCUGUAUAAGAAGCACCGGCUAACUACGUGCCAGCCGCCGCGGUAAUAC
rnacentral:rRNA from 1 species